GCCAGCCCGCUCAGAAACUCAAAGGAAUUGACGGGGGCCCGCACAAGCGGUGGAGCAUGUGGUUAAUUCGAAGCAACGCGCAGAACCUUACCAACCCUUGACAUGGGUAUCGCGAUUUCCAGAGAUGGAUUUCUUCAGUUUGGCUGGAUACCACACAGGUGCUGCAUGGCUGUCGUCAGCUCGUGUCGUGAGAUGUUCGGUUAAGUCCCGCAACGAGCGCAACCCUUGUCAUUAGUUGCUACAUUCAGUUGGGCACUCUAAUGAGACUGCCGGUGACAAACCGGAGGAAGGUGGGGAUGACGUCAAGUCCUCAUGGCCCUUAUAGGUGGGGCUACACACGUCAUACAAUGGCUGGUACAAAGGGUUGCCAACCCGCGAGGGGGAGCUAAUCCCAUAAAGCCAGUCGUAGUCCGGAUCGUAGUCUGCAACUCGACUACGUGAAGUCGGAAUCGCUAGUAAUCGUGGAUCAGAAUGUCACGGUGAAUACGUUCCCGGGUCUU
rnacentral:rRNA from 1 species